UACGGGGGGGGCAAGCGUUGUUCGGAAUUACUGGGCGUAAAGGGCUCGUAGGCGGCCAACUAAGUCAGACGUGAAAUCCCCAGGCUCAACCUGGGAACUGCGUCUGAUACUGGAUGGCUCGAAUUCGGGAGAGGGAUGCAGAAUUCCAGGUGUAGCGGUGAAAUGCGUAGAUAUCUGGAGGAAUACCGGUGGCGAAGGCGGCAUCCUGGACCGACAUUGACGCUGAUGAGCGAAAGCUAGGGGAGCAAACGGG
rnacentral:rRNA from 1 species